GCAGACACAUUCCAGCCAAUCAGCAGCAGACCCUCCCUCCCAGACCCUCCCACCUCCUGGACAGCAUCCAUUUUACAUUCAUUGUGAAGCUGCAUUCUUAGUGAGCUGUCCAGGAGGUGGGAGGGUCUGGGAGGGAGGGUCUGCUGCUGAUUGGCUGGAAUGAGUCUG